rnacentral:rRNA from 1 species
AACGCCAAGAACCUUACCAAGGCUUGACAUGAACCGGAAAGGCGUAGAAAUACGUCCCCCACUUGUGGUCGGUUUACAGGUGGUACAUGGUUGUCGUCAGCUCGUGUCGUGAGAUGUUGGGUUAAGUCCCGCAACGAGCGCAACCCUCGUUCUAUGUUGCCAGCACGUGAUGGUGGGGACUCAUAGGAGACUGCCGGGGUCAACUCGGAGGAAGGUGGGGAUGACGUCAAAUCAUCAUGCCCCUUAUGUCUUGGGCUUCACGCAUGCUACAGUGGCCGGUACAAAGGGUUGCGAUACUGUGAGGUGGAGCUAAUCCCAAAAAGCCGGUCUCAGUUCGGAUUGGGGUCUGCAACUCGACCCCAUGAAGUCGGAGUCGCUAGUAAUCGCAGAUCAGCUACGUCUGCGGUGAAUACGUUCCCGGGCCUUGUACACACCGA